UACGUAGGUGGCAAGCGUUGUCCGGAUUGACUGGGCGUAAAGCGCACGCAGGCGGACGCGCGCGUGGGGUGUGAAAUCUGGCCGCUUAACGGCCAGGCGCCAUCCCAUACGGCGCGUCUGGAGCAAUGCAGAGGUCGGUGGAAUUGCCGGUGUAGUGGUGAAAUGCGUAGAGAUCGGCAGGAACACCCAGGGGGAAACCAGCCGACUGGGCAUUUGCUGACGCUGAGGUGCGAGAGCGUGGGGAGCGAACCGG
rnacentral:rRNA from 1 species